UGGGGAAUCUUGGACAAUGGGGGCAACCCUGAUCCAGCCAUGCCGCGUGAGUGAUGAAGGCCUUAGGGUCGUAAAGCUCUUUCGCCUGUGAAGAUAAUGACGGUAGCAGGUAAAGAAACCCCGGCUAACUCCGUGCCAGCAGCCGCGGUAAUACGGAGGGGGUUAGCGUUGUUCGGAAUUACUGGGCGUAAAGCGCACGUAGGCGGACCAGAAAGUUGGGGGUGAAAUCCCGGGGGCUCAACCCCGGAACUGCCUCCAAAACUAUUGGUCUAGAGUUCGAGAGAGGUGAGUGGAAUUCCAAGUGUAGAGGUGAAAUUCGUAGAUAUUAGGUGGAACACCAGUGGCGAAGGCGCCUAACUGGUCCGGUACUGACGCUGAGGAACGAAAGCGUGGGGAAGCAAACAGGAUUAGAUACCCUGGUAGUCCACGCCGUAAACGAUGAGUGCUAGAUGUUGGGAUUUUCGGGAUUUCAGUGU
rnacentral:rRNA from 1 species